GAGAUUUAAUCUGGAUUUUCUAAAAUCCAGGAUUAAAUUUAGUACCCCGUUUGGUAAGCACCAAAGUCGGUAUUAACGUUAAAGCAUGCAGCCACUUUUGACAUCACGCAAAAAUGCAUGAAUGUGUGCGUGUGAGAAUGCCUACGUAUAAGGAAUGAUGUUUUCUACCUUCUUUGUUUUGAUGCAAGACCUUCGUAAACAAGCUCCGUUGGGGAACAAAAUAAAAAGUUCAUAACAGUUUGGAUUUUGAAGGCAGGAAAACAGGAAAAUAUUUCGCUGCAAGAAUCUAUCCACAGAAAAGAAACGAUCGGACAAGUCUAACCCCCAGAGGAAUCCGUCAAUUCCUGCACUAUCAGAUGUACCAUUCUACGCAUCAACCAAAACCGGACACAGGUACCGAGCCAUUUGUGACAUACCAAUAUACGAUACCAUGUUUUCUCCAACUGGAGAACUCUUCGAAGUUCUUCAAGUAACCUGAGGAUUCAGCGGAAUCUUGGUCGCUCAUCAAAUUGACAUCACAUCAGGACUUAUUCGCAAGCAUAAUGAAAUGGACUUCAUGUCUUGUUCGGAAGCGCUUAUUUUUGAAGUAGAUCGAAUAAUUAUAGUCCUUGGCCAGGCUUGGAAUUGGAAUCAAAGGUGGUCCUAUAACCUGAACCGGAAUGGAAUGCUUCAAGUUCUUCAACAAGAAUGCGGCAAUCAAUCUGGAUCGAUGGGAUAGUAGGUAUGUCCAACAGAAAAGCUUUUGAUGCUGAUGCGCAUCAACGUCAUGCCAGUGGUAUUAUUCAUUACCAUGUUACCAACCUCCUGGCCGUCGUGAGGGUCACGACGUGCCCCUGCAAAUAGAAGUUUCCGAAAGCUAGCAUCAUUUUGACCACAAACAGCUCAAACUGGAAAUUAAUUAGAAAUGGAAACCAAGAAAUGGAAACAUUAUAAAUUAUAAAUCCAGGAAUCAUUUUUUAGGUAUAUCAUCAUUAUUUUCACUUUAGUUGUUAGGUAUAUCAUGAAAUAGAAAGAAAAUUUUUCAAAUACGCA